rnacentral:rRNA from 1 species
UUUUGCAUAUCAAAAAGCGGAGGAAAAGAAACUAACAAGGAUUCCCCUAGUAACGGCGAGUGAACCGGGAAGAGCUCAAAUUUGAAAUCUGGCGUGCUCAGUGCGUCCGAGUUGUAAUCUAUAGAGUCGUUUUCCGUGCCGGACUGUGUCCAAGUCCCUUGGAACAGGGUAUCAAAGAGGGUGAUAAUCCCGUACUUGACACAAUGACCGGUGCUCUGUGAUACGUCUUCUACGAGUCGAGUUGUUUGGGAAUGCAGCUCAAAAUGGGUGGUGAGUUCCAUCUAAAGCUAAAUAUUGGCGAGAGACCGAUAGCGAACAAGUACCGUGAGGGAAAGAUGAAAAGCACUUUGGAAAGAGAGUUAAACAGUACGUGAAAUUGUUAAAAGGGAAACGAUUGAAGUCAGUCGUGACUGAGAGGCUCAGCCGGUUCUGCCGGUGUAUUCCCCUCAGUCGGGUCAACAUCAGUUUUGUUCGGUGGAUAAGGGCAGUUGGAAGGUGGCACCCUCGGGUGUGUUAUAGCCAGCUGUCGCAUACAUCGGAUGAGACUGAGGAAUGCAGCUCGCCUUUAUGGCCGGGGUUCGCCCACGUUCGAGCUUAGGAUGUUGACAUAAUGGCUUUAAACGACCCGUCUUGAAACACGGAC